GAAAAUGCUUGUAAGCUGUUGCUUAGAAUUUAGUACAAUUGCUUCUUGAAGUAUUUAUCUGCUGUGUGCUCCUCACAAGCCAUUUCUGGGGCUGAGUUCUGUGCUCACAGAACUACCCCGGAAGGUAAUGUUUAACAGGGUGGUUUAUGGCUUACUGCACGCAAUUAUCUCCCUCUGUAUUCUUGGGCUCAAUUCUUUCUUUUACUCGAUGGUGGGGACUUCCAGGUGCUUUCACAGAAGCACAGAAGAAUGAGAUAAUAUUUGAGAAGUAUUAAUGGCAAUCUGUUUUCUUACACUGGGAGAGAAAUGCUGCUUUUAAGUAAAAGGCUAGAAAGCAGGUCAGUGUGUGUGUGUUGGGGGCAGAUAUUGCCCUUGCUGUUGAUUUACAUGAAAUAGGAUGCAGCUUAUUUCUAGAAGCAAAUUUCAGUUAAAAUGUAUUUAUUAUACAAUGAGUUAAUAGGUGUUUCAAAAAGGUGUGUCAUUAGACCAGGAAGUGUUCCACAGUAAGAAAGUAUAAUGUGUCUGCCCAUGACUGUUUUGUUUUCACCACUGAUUAAUUUCU
rnacentral:lncRNA from 1 species